ACUCAACAACCACCAAAACUCUCACGCCUCCUCAAUCGAUCGACUCAACCCUCGUCUCUCAUUCUCUCACAUCUCCAUUUCUGAACGGUGGUUAGACUCAUUCAACCAUCUUCUUCAUUCAAUCUCACAACCAUGAAUACAAGCCAGCUUCGUCGUCUUCUUCUCGUCUUCGUAACUUCCGGCGCCGCUAGAUAACCACCACCAUCAUCGCCUUCGCUUGAAUCAAAGGUCUCGGAACACCAAUCACAUCCGAAGUACAUCAUUCCUCCAUUUCAACCGCGAUUUUGACUCUUAACACAAAACCCUAGGUUCUUUACGGACAGAAUUGAACAUUCACCGUCACAAAUUGAGCUCAAUUCCUUGGGGGUUCGAUUCACCAUAGCAUAAGCUUCGUGUUGAUGACAAGAACUAAGCAAAGCGGUGAAGUAAAGAAUGAGUUCGGCAGUUACCUAUCAGAGAUUAACAAAUGCAAUUUCGACAACGACGAAGAGAAAAAGAAAACCAGAUGCUCCGCCUUUCAUGGUAAACCAAGAAAUAACACACAGAGAUGAUGUAACUUUUUGGCUGAUACUUUGUCAAUAGGUUUCAUAGGAGAUGACAAGGAGACUUUUGAGACAUUUGAAUCUAUGGAGUUUAGACUACUCUUUUUCUAGAGGAACUGCUCAUUUACUUGCAAAGAUCUUGACUAUCAACAAACUCUAAGGGAACUCUAGUUAUCAUGGAAGACACACGGCAGUAACCAUUCCUCGGCCUAUGAAUCUCCAACCGAUUUCUGUGCCUUCGAUUACAGUAAAUGAAUUGAAGUCUGUGACAGAUAGUUUUGGUACGAAGUCUUUCCUUGGUGAAGGUGCGUACGGGAAAGUAUAUCGCGCCAUGUUGAAAAUGGGACGUGAAACUGAACUCUGUUUGUCGAAAUCAUUUGGAUUUGCGGGUAUAAAGGAUAAGUGUGCUGUUACGACCCAAAGGGCUUGUGGAUUGAAAUGGGCAUGUGAUGAUAGGGAACUUGCUUCUGGUGGUAAUGAUAAUCAGGUGUACUAACACAUAAUUGUGUCAUUCUAUGCUUUAUGUAUUCUUCUAGAGCUUUUUAAAUCACCUCUUGUUUAAUGUCAUGUUAAUUAUUAUAUGAGCAGUUGUUGGUAUGGAAUCAACACUCUCGGUUAGAAUCCAAAUUGAAACAAUGUCACCAAACUCAGUUAGAAGGAAUAUUAGCCAUAAAGAGACCUCAUUCUGUGUCAUUCUUAAGUGCAGAAGAAUUCAGGAAUGAUUAGCAUCAAAAACUAUAUUUAACUCUUUAAUCUAUUGUAGUUAAUAGUUUUUCUUUGUUCUUGGCAGAAGUUAGGCUUCUUUCAGCUGCAAAACACAAGAACCUUGUUGGUCUGGUUGGAUAUUGUGAACAACCAGAAAGAGAUGGAGCAAAAAUACUAGUCUAUGAAUAUGUAUCAAAUGGAGCAGGAAAAGGUGCUGUAUCUUCAAGGAAAAUAAAAGGAGGCUGAUUAUCAUCUGUUUGUUAGGUGCAUAUCACACAAGGUGAUUAUGAAAGAAAAGCAGUAAUCGUCUCAUGGGUGACCUCGAAUGAACCAGAGUCCAGCCAUGUACAAUUUGGCACAUCACAGAAAGAGUAUCAAACUAGUGUAAAAGGUGCAGUUUCAAAUUACACUCUCAGCUAAUACAAAUCUGGUUACAUUCAUCAUUGUCUUGUUGAAGGCCUUAAGGUACUUGUUUCAAAUUAGGAGAGUAGAAUUAUCAUUUGUGUUUUUUUACUUCAAAUGUCAAAAGUGAAAUAAAUUGAACAGUGGAGUCUAACUAAAAGAACAACAUAUAUUUCAUUUUUGAAUAAUGACACCUCCCGAAGUUGAACCAGAUGCCCCUUACAAAUUUGGGAUCAUUGAUACAUAGUCAGUUUUCCCAAAUAUGCUCUUCUACUUGAACAUAAUAUUUUGCAUCCUUAAUUGCAAAUUUUGUUUCUACAUAAACUAUUAUCUGUCACUAUUUUAUUUUGUUGUAAUUUCUCAUGAUUUCUACAUAAACUAUUAUCUAUCACUAUUCUAUGAGCUGGCUUCAAAAUGCUGCUUUCAACGUGCCAUUUGUAAUACUAAAUGGACAAACUCACAUAAUCUUCCAUCAGUUGUAGGAUGUCUGUUUGCAUCAUCUGAUGCAAAAGAGGAAGCUACCAAGUUGGGGACUGUUAUUGGGAUAGAUCUUGGAUUAAGGUGGUUUGUUACUAUGUUGUAUUUGUUCAAUUUUAUAUUGUACUUCAAUGUUGUAAAUUUGUAAUUUGGAUUAAGGUGGUUUGGAUUAAUAGUGUCAUCAAUUAUUU